CAUACUUCCAAGUGUCGUGUCUUUUGUGUUGAUUGUGAGGGAACUUCUUUUCUUGUCAAAUAUCAUUUUCGAAGGUACUUUUAAUGAGUGCAUUGAAAUUUACUCUUCGAAGAUUGCAUGAUGCUAGUAGAACGGUAGUCAACCGAUUUCCAUUAACUAUUUCGUUCGCUAGCUAAUGAGAAAACUAUACUGUUUUACUGUGUGUAGGUGCUGGUUCACGUGAAAUACAGCUGUGUGAAACUGUUCAUUGCUUCGUAGACAUUGGGAGAUUCGGUGCGAGUGAUUUUCAAAUGCUGAACUGCUUUCUAUAUAGUUGUUUUACGCUGUGCAGGUGCUGGUUCACGCAAAAUGCAGUUCUGUGCAAGUGGACUUCUCUACGCACACAGUGGGAGAUUCCGUGCAAGUGAUUUUCAAUCGUUGAGCGAUUUUCGAUAUUCGCAGGCAUCAUAGUUUGGAACGAAACCAUUCAUACAUGUACUCCAUUAUC